UAACGGCGGCGCGGCGGGGCCGCGGCUCCAAAACAAAGGGCUGGCGGCCCGCGGGGCGGCGGCGGGAGGAUGCCUCGUGCCCUGCCCGGGCGCCAACGGCCGCAGCGCGGCCCGGGCCCCACCGGGGCCCCCUGAGAGCCGAGCCCGCGCCGACCGAGGCCCGGGCCGGAUGGGCGCUGCGGGCGGGGGCGCGCACCGCCGAGCGGCAGUUGUGACAUUUUCCCCUCAUUCCAGCUGUGUAGACAGUGACACAUUUCACUCACUGGAUCUGUGUGGACAGUGCCACACGCCCUCUGAACAACAACGGCUCUUGCUUGCAUACUACAGUGCUUCCUUUGUCAGAGAGCCCAGCACAGCCAUAAUUCUUCCUGUGCCAGCCCUGAGCUGAGCGAGGUGAGCCUGGCAGAGAUGGUGAAGAUGACAAAAUCCAAGACGUUCCAGGCUUAUCUGCCAACCUGUCACAGGACGUAUAGCUGUGUCCACUGCAGAGCCCACCUGGCCAAUCACGAUGAGCUCAUCUCCAAGUCCUUCCAGGGAAGUCAGGGACGAGCCUACCUCUUCAAUUCUGUGGUGAAUGUGGGCUGUGGCCCUGCAGAGGAGCGCGUCCUUCUUACUGGUCUCCACGCAGUCGCAGACAUCUACUGUGAGAACUGCAAAACCACGCUCGGCUGGAAAUACGAACAUGCGUUUGAGAGCAGUCAGAAAUAUAAGGAAGGAAAAUUUAUUAUUGAGCUUGCCCACAUGAUCAAAGACAAUGGUUGGGAGUAAAGUGAGACUUUCCGUUCUCUUUUGAAUACUAUUUUGUGAAAGAGACUGCAAAUGUCACAGAAACCUAGGAACAUCUGGAUGGCAGUUCAUUCACACUUGGCCUCUCCCAACUGUUAACUUGGAGAAAGAAUUAACCAAUUGAUGACUUGUCUGGUCAAUGCCUUCCUUUACCCUGUGCUCUUCAGAUAGCGUAUGGCUGUACUUUCAUAUUGAAUAGAGAACUAAGGCGGUAGGGCAGAACUUCUUCAGAGAGCAAGUCUCAGCCAAGAGUGUUGACAGUGAAGGUACUGUAACCUCUUUUUCCUAACUCACAAAACUACAGUUGGCUUGAUCAAUGUCCCUUGUAGAUGAGCUGUACAGGCAUUGUGCUCACUUAGGAAUCUACAAAGUCAAGAAAUCAACUUACCAAAAAUGUGUUUUUCCCCCUAGUGUUAUUUAAAAAUAGUAUGCCACUGACAUCAUUAUAUUGAUUGAUAAGCUAUAAAAAGAGAAAAGUGUCUGCUGGAACAUCUCAUAGAUUGGAGUCAGUAGCUUCCUUAUCCAGAAAGUAUGAACUUGGCCUUCACAGACUGAGGCUCCUGGGGCUGCAGGCAGCCUGAGCCAAGGGCAGGGCCACUAUGGCUCUGCUCAUGGGUCUGUUAGCCAUGCACUCAACUCAGUGUUAACAGAAUCCAGGAAAAUUGGGUUUCCUUUUCUACUGAUUAGCUUGAAAAGAAAAUCUUUUGUAUGUAGAAGAGGUCAGAACCACCAGGAAAAAGCCCACCUGUGGUGGGCUGGCUGACUUGGAAAUGUUUUCAGAAAAGGUUCGUGUUGCAAGACAGGAGCUUAAGAGCUUUGUGUCAGAGGGUCUGCUAUGCUGGACUACUCACUCCUGGCUUUGUCCUUGCGCUGACACAGGGCCUGUGCAGCAUCCUCAAUCCUGUAUUUUAUAUUUUUCCCUUUUUCAAGAGCCGGGGUUUCCUGCAUGUGCAAUUUCAUUGCCCCUGGGCUGCUUUUUGAUUCACUUACAGUGACAGAAAUUCCUGUGCUACAGCUCCUUGCACUGGCAGUGCCAGGGACUUGACCCCAGGCCACGCGUAUGGCAAGGCAUGCCUCCUACCAACACUCAGCUCUCUCUCCAGUUGCUUGCCAUGUUUUUUGUUUGUUUGUUUGUAACUAGAACAUUGCUUAGCUCUGACUUAUGUUGCUGGAGAUUGAACCUGGGACUUCUGGUGUUUCGGGCAUGAGUCUUUUGCUUAUUAUGCUGUCUCCUCUGCCCCUGUGUAUUUUUAAAGUUUCAGUCCACCCAUGCCUCUACCUGGUCAGUGGGCACUAAACACAGGGUUGAACUAACUCAGAGAGUAGAGGACAAAAAAAACAUUCUCAGUAAGUUUUAGUUUUCAGAGUUCUGUCCCAACUCCUGCUAAGGAUCUGCAGUGGUCUCCAGUGGUCAUUAACAUGCGACUCAAGAGACCAGUGCUGAUGGGUAGGGAGCGAGGAGACGUGCCCAAAUAUCUCUCAGCCUGAAGCCAGCUAUGAAACUGCCUUCAAACAAGGUCAGUUUGGUGGCGCGAACUGGCUGGGACAUGGAGAACAUCCCGGUCUAAUGGGGGUCCCUCCCAGGAUCCCAUGCCCCAACCUGGGCCAGGCUUAGCGCACACCUCUGGCUUUCCCUUUGGCACCAUCUCCGCCCAUGACCCAGUUGCUGCCUGCUCUUGACAGUGUGCUCAGUGUGACUGAGCACAGGGAGCCCUUGCUUGAUACACAUCUGAAUACACAUGUGAAAGGAAGGUCCGGUAUGCAAGUCUUUGAACUUGCAUCUACUCCAGCAGAUGUAGGGUAUCCCCACAGUCUGUUUCUAAGGUGUUCAGCUAUGCAGCCUCCAGACCCCCUGAGCAGUCACUGAGAGGCAAUACCCUCACACCAUGAGGAGAAAUCUGAAGGCCCUUCACUGGCAAACAUUUCAAAUGUUUGUCUUUAGGGAGAACUUGGAAAGGACUGGAAGACAUCUUCCUUGGCUGAAUAUUAGAAGCUGAAAACUUGGCCUGUGACUUUUGCCCUCGUCUUGGUUCCUCCCCGAGCCUGGGUGGUAUGCAGAGGUUCCCCAUGGACUUAGGGUGUGUGGGCUGUGCCCAGACACCUCACAGAGCACCACAGGCAGCAGGCUCCAGUGCUUCACAUAAACUGAAGGGUCUCUAAAAUUCUUCCCAUUUUUGUAUAUGCUGAAACUUCUAUUUGAAGUUUUUUUUAUGUUCCGGGCAAGUUAACUGCUCUUUCAAUCUGAGCACUUUUUUUUUUUUUUUUUUUGUAUUGUCUUUUGUAAUAGCACUGAAAACUUUUUAUUAAGUGGUCUUCUGACUUUUGUAUUUUUUUUAAUUGAUACCAACAGACCUUUGAUUUUUGUUGGUCUUCUCCAAAAUCCAAGAUCCUUUUGAAACCAAAUGAACUGGCCAUGAGCUGGCUUCAGCAAAGAAUAUUCAAGAUUCAGCCAGAUGUGCUGGUGAGGUGUUAAGUGUUCCACCCUCUAAAAUUCAUAAGUAACUAUCAUCCUAUAGUAUUUAUUUAUUUUAAAUGUUUUUUUUGAGAAGGGCAGGUGAUGCUAGGAUUCACAAUGCAUUUAACCUCAACUGUGUAGUAGUGUCCUUUUGUGUAGUAUUUAGAAACAUGGUUUUGUUUUACUGCCAUUUUAUAUAUAAUAUGUAAAGUAUUUUUAUACCUUAAUGCUUAUUCUUGAUGGCAUCUGUCAGAUAUUAGGAUCAGAAAUGUGAAUUUUUUCAAAAGUUCUUUAAUUUACCUGAUGAACCCCACCAGGUACUUAACAGUAUCCAAGUAGUUUUAAUACCUAGAAAAAAACCCUACAAUUUAAACUCCCAAACCACCUACAAAAAUGGAAAGCUUUCCUUGUGGAGGGCCCUGGGCAGGCCAGUCUUCCCGACGUGAGGCAGCUCAUGGCACUGCAACCUCCCUCAGCAGGCGGUGUUGCUGAGAGUUGAGGCUGGACAUAGUGGACAGCAGCACGGGGCUGACCUGAAGCUUCGUCUGGUGGCGCCAGCCUGGUAGCCACUCUCACGUCUCUCAGCUCUCUGUGUUCAGGCCUCAGGCCUUCCUGUCUGUGUGAGGUUUCAAAAUAAAGCUUCUAAUGUCA